AGGAUUUAGUCUAGUCCAUGACAAUCUGCUGUACCAAACGACCCCUCGAAAGAUAUUAUUAUUAUUAAUAUAACGAUUAGAACUACUUUUGUUACAAUAGUAAUUUAUAAUUUAUGGUUAAUAUGCAUGCUAAUUGUAGAUUAAAAUUUUUGAUAAAAAAAAUGUGAAUUAAAAAAAGAAAAAAAAUUUAUAUAGUGAAGUUGGUUUUUU
rnacentral:lncRNA from 1 species